AGCAGCCGCGGUAAUUCCAGCUCCAAUAGCGUAUAUUAAAGUUGUUGCAGUUAAAAAGCUCGUAGUUGAAUUUCGGGAUCAAUUUAUUGGUCGUGCUAUUGUACGUACUGGUAUUAUUGAUUCCUACCUUCUGACGAACCAUGAUGUCAUUAAUUUGGUGUCAUGGGGAAUCAGGACUGUUACUUUGAAAAAAUUAGAGUGUUUAAAGCAGGCUCACGCUUGAAUACAUUAACAUGGAAUAACGAAAUAGGACGUUUGAUUCUAUUUUGUUGGUUUCUAGGAUCGACGUAAUGAUUAAUAGGGAUAGUUGGGGGCAUUAGUAUUCAAUUGUCAGAGGUGAAAUUCUUGGAUUUAUUGAAGACUAACUACUGCGAAAGCAUUUGCCAAGGAUGUUUUCAUUAAUCAAGAACGAAAAUUAGGGGAUCGAAGACGAUCAGAUACCGUCGUAGUCUUAACCAUAAACUAUGCCGACUAGGGAUCGGAUGAUGUUAAUUUUUAAUGACUCAUUCGGCGCCUUAAC
rnacentral:rRNA from 1 species